rnacentral:rRNA from 1 species
GUCUACGGCCCGACCACACUGAGCAUGCCCUAUCUCAUCUGGUCUUGGAAGCUAAGCAGGGUUGGGCUUGGUUAAUACUUGGAUGGAAGACAGAUCUUCAGAAGAGACUGCUCAGAGACAAGCAGUUUGGAGACA